GUCCCAGUUAAUAUCUUUGAAGAACAUAUGCUGCUUCACCUCUGAUGCGCCUAUAGCUCCAAGUCGCUGGUUAGGAUCUUCUGUCAAUAAUCGAUCAAUUAAAUCUCGAGCAUCAUGGCUCAUCUCUUCAGGUAUCUGAGGCCAAGGGAUCUUACGGUUGAGAAUGUUAUCAAAUAUAGUCUGGGGAUGCUCUGCAUUGAAGGGCGGAAUGCCAACAAUUAGUUCAAAUAAAAUGAUCCCAACAGACCACCAGUCAGCUGUGGCGCCGUGUCCAGUUCCCAAUAGUAUCUCUG
rnacentral:misc_RNA from 1 species